AUGAUGUUAUUACUAUACAAUCUGCUGGGUGUUUCUUACAUGCCAACUGCUAUACUAAGCAAUUUACAUGCAUGGUUUCCACGAAUCCCUGCACAAUCCUUUGAAUUAGAGAACUUACUGACACCCAAAAAAGAUGUCCUUUUCAUUAUAGGGGACUGGAAUGCAAAAGUAGCAAGUCAAGAAACACCUAGGGUAAUAGGCAAAUUUGGCCUUGGAAUGCGGAAUGAAGCAGGGCAAAGACUAAUAGAGUUUUGCCAAGAGAAAGCACUGGUCAUAGCAAAUACCCUCUUCCAACAACACAAGAGAAGACUCUACACAUGGACAUCACCAGAUGGUCAACACCGAAAUCAGAUUGAUUAUAUUCUUUGCAGCCAAAGAUGGAGAAGCUCUAUACAGUCAGCAAAACCAAGACCAGGAGCUGACUGUGGCUCAGAUCAUGAACUCCUUAUUGCCAAAUUCAGACUUAAAUUGAAGAAAGUAGGGAAAACCACUAGACCAUUCAGGUAUGACCUAAAUAAGAUUCCUUAUGAUCAUACAGUGGAAGUGAGAAAUAGAUUUAAGGGACUAGAGCUGAUAGGUAGAGUACCUGAUGAACUAUGGAUGGAGGUUCGUGACAUUGUACAGGAGACAGGGAUCAAGACCAUCCCCAUGGAAAAGAAAUGCAUAAAAGCAAAAUGGCUGUCUGGGGAGGCCUUACAAACAGCUGAGAAAAGAAUAGAAGCAAAAAGCAAAGGAGAAAAGGAAAGAUAUACCCAUUUGAAUGCAGAGUUCCAAAGAAUAGCAAGGAGAGAUAAGAAAGUCUUCCUCAGUGAUCAAUGCAAAGAAAUAGAGGAAAACAACAGAGUGGGAAAGACUAGAGAUCUCUUCAAGAAAAUGAGAGAUACCAAGGGAACAUUUCAUCCAAAGAUGGGCUCGAUAAGGGACAGAAAUGGUAUGGACCUAACAGAAGCAGAAGAUAUUAAGAAGAGGUGGCAAGAAUACACAGAAGAACUAUACAAAAAAGAUCUUCAUGACCCAGAUAAUCACGAUGGUGUGAUCACUCAUCUAGAGCCAGACAUCCUGGAACAUGAAGUCAAGUGGGCCUUAGAAAGCAUCACUACGAACAAAGCUAGUGGAGGUGAUGGAAUUCCAGUUGAGCUAUUUCAAAUCCUGGAAGAUGAUACUGUGAAAGUGCUGCACUCAAUAUGGCAGCAAAUUUGGAAAACUCAGCAGUGGCCACAGGACUGGAAAAGGUCAGUUUUCAUUCCAAUCCCAAAGAAAGGCAAUGCCAAAGAAUGCUCAAACUGCUGCACAAUUGCACUCAUCUCACACGCUAGUAAAGUAAUGCUCAAAAUUCUCCAAGCCAGGCUUCAGCAAUACGUGAACCGUGAACUUCCAGAUGUUCAAUCUGGUUUUAGAAAAGGCAGAGGAACCAGAGAUCAAAUUGCCAACAUCUGCUGGAUCAUGGAAAAAGCAAGAGAGUUCCAGAAAAACAUCUAUUUCUGCUUGACUGACUAUGCCAAAGCCUUUGACUGUGUGGAUCACAAUAAACUGUGGAAAAUUCUGAAAGAGAUGAGAAUACCAGACCACCUGACCUGCCUCUUGAGAAACCUGUAUGCAGGUCAAGAAGCAACAGUUAGAACUGGACAUGGAACAACAGACUGGUUCCAAAUAGGAAAAGGAGUACGUCAAGGCUGUAUAUUGUCACCCUGCUUAUUUAACUUCUAUGCAGAGUACAUCAUGAGAAACACUGGGCUGGAAGAAGCACCAGCUGGAAUCAAGAUUGCUGGGAGAAAUAUCAAUAACCUCAGAUAUGCAGAUGACACCACCCUUAUGGCAGAAAGUAAAGAGGAACUCAAAAGCCUCUUGAUGAAAGUGAAAGAGGAGAGUGAAAAAGUUGGCUUAAAGCUCAGCAUUCAGAAAAUGAAGAUCGUGGCAUCUGGUCCCAUCACUUCGUGGCAAAUAGACUGGGAAACAGUGGAAACAGUGGCUGACUUUUUUGGGGGGAGCUCCAAAAUCACUGCAGAUAGUGACUGCAGCCAUGAAAUCAAAAGACUCUUACUCCUUGGAAGGAAAGUUAUGACCAACCUAGAUAGCAUAUUAAAAAGCAGAGACAUUACUUUGUCAACAAAAGUCUGUCUAGUCAAGGCUAUGGUUUUUCCAGUGGUCAUGCAUGGAUGUGAGAGUUGGACUGUGAAGAAAGCUGAGCGCCGAAGAAUUGAUGCUUUUGAACUGUGGUGUUGGAGAAGACCCUUGAGAGUCCCUUGGACUGCAAGGAGAUCCAACCAGUCCAUUCUAAAGGAGAUCAGUCCUGGGUUUUCAUUGGAAGGACUGAUGCUGAAGCUGAAACUCCAAUACUUUGGCCACCUCAUGCGAAGAGUUGACUCAUUGGAAAGACUCUGA
rnacentral:lncRNA from 1 species